GCACUUCAUGUCGGAGUUCAAGCGUCGUAGCUCCGAAGCCCUGGCUGAGCUCAUCACGGCCAGUCGAAACGAGGGUGGUCAACCGUUUACUUGCUUGGUUUACCCUCAACUCCUUAUUUGGGCUGCUGAAGUGGCGCGUGCGUAUCACCUCCCUUCGGCGCUACUCUGGCUUCAACCAGUCCUCGUUUUCGACGUUUAUUACUAUUACUUCUAUGGAUAUGGCGAUCUAAUUGAAGGAAAGGUUAAUGAUUUGAUAGAGUUACCGGGACUGCCGCCACUCACCGGCCGUGAUCUUCCUUCUUUCCUAGAUCCCAGAAAUUCAAAUGAUGCUUACUCUUUCGUAUUACCUUCUUUUAAAGAACAAAUGGAGGCAAUUGUUGAAGAAACCGAUCCAAGAAUUCUUGUCAACACGUUCGACGCAUUAGAAGCUGAGACCUUGAAAGCUAUCGAUAAGUUCAAUAUGAUCGCAAUCGGACCGUUAGUUGCAUCGGCGUUGUUGGACGGAAAAGAGCAGUACGGAGGCGAUCUUUGCCAGAAUAGUUCAAUAGAGUAUUAUAUGGAAUGGCUAAGCUCGAAGCCCAAAUCAUCUGUUAUCUACGUGGCGUUCGGAACCAUAUGCGUUCUGGAGAAGCGUCAAGUGGAGGAAAUUGCACGGGGGUUGUUAGAUAGUGGCCAUCCAUUCUUGUGGGUCAGUAGAGAAAACGACAAUAAAGAUAAAGAUAAAGAUAAAGAUAAAGAUGAAGGAGAAGAUGACGUGAUGAUGAAGUACAAAGAAGAGCUGAAUGAGAAGGGAAUGAUAGUGCCGUGGUGUUCACAAGUGGAGGUUCUGUCACAUGAAGCGGUGGGGUGUUUUGUAACGCACUGUGGGUGGAGUUCGAGCUUAGAAAGCUUGGUAUAUGGCGUGCCUGUGGUGGCGUUUCCUCAGUGGACAGAUCAAGGGACAAACGCUAAAAUUAUUGUGGACUUCUGCAAAACCGGAGUGAGAGUGAAGGCAAAUGAAGAAGGGAUUGUAGAAAGUGAUGAGAUUAACAGGUGUUUGGAGUUGGUGAUCGGAGAAGGAGAUGAUUUUAGAAGAAAUUCUUUGAAAUGGAAGGAUUUGGCCAGAGAUGCCGUCAAACAAGGAGGGUCUUCACAUAAGAAUCUUAAGGCUUUUGUUGAUGACUUUAGCACCAGCAAGUAAGUUUUAUCUUUUUGUUUUUUCCUCGUUUUUACUCUUUGAAUAUCAGAAGAUUGAAUAUAUAAAAGAAAGACAUUUGUAACGAUUUUUACUUUUUAUCUUCAUCUGUCAUAUGGCACGACGGUUAAGCGACCAUCAUUAAUUUGGUGUCAAGAAAAUUUGAUGACGGAUUUUAUAUGUCAGGCAAUGCAUGAUAUAUUAUCCAUUACGAUUCUAUCAUAAAUAUUUUGAUAAUAAAUUAUCAUGCAUGACUAACAUUUAUUAUAAUUACUUUCAAAGCAUGACUAAUAUCUAUCGCAAGAGAAUGAUACAUAUAAAUGAAUUUGGCUGGAAUUCCAAAAUCUAAAUAAAUUUGACGAAAUUUUAAAAUUUUUAAAUGAGUUGGGCUGGAAUUACAAAAUUAUUUUAUUUAAUUAUUAAUUUAUUCAAUUAAUUGUAAUUAUUAUUGAAUUAAAUUUUAAUUUUGAAAUAUAUUCUUUUAUAAAUUAUUAUGAUGACGAUGAUAUGUGUAUAUGCUCCAAAAUUAUAUAAAUAUAUACAAAUUAAGAAUUUAAAAUUAAUUAAACUACAUAAUAAUAACAUGAAUAUAUUAUUUGUUCUUUUAAACUAAAUACAAUUACUAUCAAUCACAUAAUAUGAACAAGAACAUCAUUCAUUCUUAGGCUACAUCAAACUCCAUAUUUCCACUAAAAACAUAAAAAUUCCAGCUUUUGAGAGGAUCGGUACAAACGCUGCAUGUUAACUUAACUAGCAAGCAAAAAACUAAAGCACCUCAUCAACCAACUACAGUCUAACAAAUUAUGUGACGUUCAGGACAAAAUCCAGCAUGGGGUCCUUAGAUCCAAAACACAAUUUAGUUGCCGGCCACCUGGAAUUUCAAUUAAGAGAAAAAAAACAUCAGUUGGAUAAUCUCAAAAACCAAGUUUCCAUAAAUUUUAUCUUUGCAAAAUGCACUAGGAUUAUUGUUAGGAAUUUGGUGGGUGAAGCAGAACCAUAGUUAAAAUGAAAUUGGAAGAAAAAAUAAAGAACAAGUAGAAAGAGGACACCAAGAAAUUACGUGGUUCAACUUUUAGUCUACAUUCACGGGCGAAGACAGAAGGAAAAUAUUUUACUAGUGAUAUGAGAAUUACAAGUAUUGUAAUAUUUUGGCUUACUACCCAGAACCUCAAUACACCUAAUCUCUCACUCACUAGACUCAUAAGAGCUUUAUAAUUUAAACCUUUAAAAUUACCCAAGCUCCCUGCUUUCUCUCUCACAAAUUUUUGAUGCCAAAACGAAAUGGGGAGCUCUAUAAUUUUUUUUCUCACCGUCAUUAUCUUCUUCAUUCUUCUUUUUCAUUCUUCAAAGAACGCUACUGCCAAAUUCCAUUUUUUCUUCGUCUUUCAUUUUGUCUUUGUUCAAAUUUGGCAGCUUCAACUCUUUUUCUUCUUCCUUGUUUUCUUUGGGUCGCAACUUCCCCUUCAAUAUUUGCUACUUCAAAGUUUCUUCAUUCUUCUAGAUUGGUGGCUGUCAAAGCCAAUUUGAAUUUGGCUUGUUAAAGCCACCGGCUUUGUCAGCCAUUAUUUUGACAAUUAUUUGCUUUAAUAAACUUCAAUAUGGCCUCAAAUUGACGUAUACAAUUUGAGAAAGUGCAACACCAACAAAACUCUCAAUUAUCUUAAUGUAGUCUUAUUGUACCUAACCGAUAACUUUCAACGUAAAACAUGAACUAUAAAAAGCCUCAAACAUAUAUAUUUCACUUUAAACACUUUAUGAACUAAUAAAGUAAUAGAGUACAGUCUAGAAAAUUAUUUACAAAUUUAUAACUGCCAUAAAGCUUAAACCCUUAUGUGGUGUAAAAUUAAAUUUUAAGAUCUAAAUCCCUAACAUAACUUCAAUAAUUAAAAAAAAAAACCUAGAAAUGAUCAAUAAAAGUUUUCUUUCUAAUUUUCAAAUUCCAUUCACAAUAAUUUAAUUCUAACUUAAUAAGAAACAAAAACAUUCAAAUCAUUAUAAUAAAUGUUCAUUCUAAAAUAUCACUUCCUAAGAACACAUAAGAGUUGGGACAGAGGAGACGACAUAUUGGAGCUAGUGGAGGAGUUGUGGAGAUAUUAGUAGCAGAUGCAGUAGAGAAGUGAGCAUGCACCGAGUAGAAGGGGGUUAGUUCAGGUCGUUUGGAAUUGGAGGCUGCUGGUUCUAGUUUGGCUCCUUUGGAGAAAUUGAAGGGGGGCUGUGCGAGUUAAAAAGAAAGACGUUUGGCAUUUGGGUUUUGUUUUAAAUUAAGGUGGAGGUGCAAUUAGUCAUAAAAGAGGGUUAACUUAAAACAAUUUAAUUUUAAAGUGUCAAUUAUAUUUAAAAGUUCAUGACAAAUGUUUAUCAUAGUGCACAAACACCGUCGAAUAAUCAAAUCAUGUAAAAAUCAAUGUUAUAUUACAAUGGUAUUUUUGUAAUUAAAGUUAUUAUAGAAAACUUAAAAUAAUUGAAUUAAUAAUAAAAAACGAUGCCAUUGCAUACCAUGCCUGUCAUGGUUUGAAACGAUGUCAUUUCAAUCUAUGACAAUGCCUGUCAUGCUUCGCAAACAACGUUAGAUGGUAUCGUAAAACGACUUGUCAUUUUAAUUUAUUAAAAAAAAUCAACAUUACAUAUAUCUAUCAUUUACUUAUGUCAGUAAGUUAUAAGUCACGAAUAAGUCAUGUAAUCUUGACAUAUAAUUAUAUGUCACGAACAUGUCAUACACGUACAUGAUAUAUUUGUGACACAAUGUUAUCUGUUAUAAAAAUUUUGUUAUUAAUUUGCGUUUCUUUAGUAGUGUUUAGGAUCAUAUGAUAUAUGAUAUGGUAAGAGAUGAUAUAAUUAAAUAUUGUAUUUUUGUAUAUUUAGUUGAAUUUUGUAUGAUCAUUAAUUAUAUGUUUUUCAAAAUAAAUAUACUUAUGUCAUAUAAUAUUAUUUAUUUAUUAUCAUCAUAUUUAUAAAAAAAUUUAGCAUGCAUUGCUCUUUUUAUUAUUAUUGUUAUCAUUUUAUAUGUGGACAUACCAUUAUAUAUAUGGAAUAAUGAAAGUGAAUCAGCUUCACAAUAUCACCUAGCAAGUACAUGAAAUGGUGGAUCGGUACCCUAGUCUCCAGAGUGAUGCUAUAUAUUUAUAUAUAUGCACUUCACUCCGCAAUAUCAACCAGCAAGUACAUGAAAUGGGGUGAAUUAGUACCCUAGUCUCCAGAGUAAUGCUGUGUGUGUGUGUGUGUGUGUGUGUAGACACUUGUACAACUAUGUGCUGAGAUAAAUUUGAGCUUUAUGCCCUUUAUCUUACAUUUCCAAGUAAAAACAUUCAUUAGAUAAAAGUUUGAGAUUUACCUUAAUUGGCCAUGAGUCCAAAUUUUAUUAUCUAGCUUGCCUCUUACUCGUGAAUCCAACAUUUUUUUCCUCUAAUUUGCAGUGAUUCUACCUUAAAUUUUAGCUGCAAAAUCAAGCUCACUAUGCACACAAACACAAUCGGCCAAGAGGGAGGGAGAGAGAGAGAGGUGCACUGUACUCAUACCCCAGAUUCUAUGAAUAGUGAACUCCGAAUGAGCUGAAGGCACUUAAAUAUUAUAGCUGAGUGCAGGAAUCCCUCAUGUGUUAGUACAAAAUUGCCCAUUCCAUUAUGAGCUAAAAUAACACAAUUGAAGGUUAUACUUGCCCAUAAUGGACUACUAUAUAGGGUAUGACAAAAUUAGACUCAUUAACAUAAUAUUUGAUCACUUAAUAAAUGAGCCUGUCAAAAAUACUCUUUAAUAUUUGACAUCAGUCACAUAUUAAUUCGGUAAAACAUGAAAAAUAAUUAGAAUUAUAACACCUUAGGCGAAUCCCACAUCGGCAAAGCACGGGAGAGAUGCUGGGUUUAUAAGAAGUGAUCCACACCUUAAUUGGCAAGACGCGUUUUGGGGUGUAUGGGCGCCCCAAGAACAAAUCCGUGUGGGCCUUGUUAAGGCCCAAAGCGGACAAUAUCUUGCCAGGUCUGGGUUGGGUCAUGACAUUAUGGUAUCAGAGCGGCUCCGCGUGUCCUCUUAAGCGAUGGUGGGGCAAACCUCAACGAGGACGCUGAGUCCCCAAGGGGGGGUGCAUGUAACACCUUAGGCGAAUCCCACAUCGGUAAAGCACGGGAGAGAUGCUGGGUUUAUAAGAAGUGAUCCAAACCUUAAUUGGCAAGACGCGUUUUGGGGUGUAUGGGCGCCCCAAGAACAAAUCCGUGCAGGCCUUGUUAAGGCCCAAAGCGGACAAUAUCUUGCCAGGUCUGGGUUAGGCCAUGACAAGAAUGAUCUAUGCCAAUCUACAAUAUGUGAGAAAUAAAUCUAACACAAUGUGCAAACUACAAGAAAAGUAAAUUUUUUACUUGUACAACUAUGUACUAACCGUUUUUAGGCAGAAAAGAUUUUUGUUCAAUCAAGUCAUCAAUAAUAAACAAAAAUAAGUGUAUAACUUUUCUAAUGGCAAAAUAACUAUUAAAAAUAGCUUCGAAUUUGGUUGUUAAUAAAUAAACUUUAGUAUAAAACAGUAGUAUCAUUAUUAAAUAGUGGAGAAUGCAUAUUUAUAAAGGGUAAAAUUAUUGAUCUGUUCUAAGUCAGAUCUGGUCUAUAAGGCAGACUAGUCUCUGCAUUGAUCAGGUAGAACAACGCCACAUACCGAUUUAAUCAUAAUAAAAAGAACCCACAACUGUGUUUCUGCUUUGUUAGAAUCCAAGGUUUUUAAAAGUUUAUCAAGAUAUUCCUUUUAAAGAUUCGGAUCAGAAAUAUGUUUAACAAGCUCAAGAAAGGUUUCUUGGUCUUUAGUCAAAACAUUGAUUUUCUUGAGAUAAGAAACUGAAUCACUAGUGUUGGAACCACUAGAAGAAACAGAUUCAGAGUCAUUUAACUCAUCAACCUGUAGGGGUUCACUAUCUCCCGUCAUGGAAGACUCAGAGUCAGAAGACUCUACAAGUAAAUGGGCUACUUUAGAAAGAAUUUCUUCAUCAAGGCCAAGCUCAUAGAGCUUUCUGUUCAUUCUGCAAAACUUUACAGUGUGGCCUUUCUUUCCACAUUUAUAACAUGUGGCUUCUUUGUAGUUAAAAGGACUCUUUUGUUUAGGUUUAAAAUCCUUCUUUUUAGAGAAGCUGGGCUUCUUAUAAGGCCUCGAAGGUUUCUUAUAAGAAAGUUUUCUAAAAUCUUGGAAGGGCUUCUUAUGGCUUCUUGAAUUGUAAUAUUUUUUGUAAGGUUUCGAAGAACACUUACCAUUACAAUCCUUAGAAGUAGAAGUUUUAAAGGGGUCAUAAUUGAAUUGUUUACAGAAACUACCUAAUUCUUGCUUAGAUUUCCUAAGCUCCCAUUUUAGUCGUUUCUGUAACUUCAAAUCUUGACAAAUCUUUAAAACUUCUUUGUUGACAAAACUGACAAGUUCACCACAGGUAAGCUCGUCAUAAGGAAUACGAUUGUCAUACAAGGCUUUAAUGGAAUUUCUAACCUUCUCUCCUAAAAGGGUUGGUAAACCUGCAAGGAAUUUUUCCUUCCAAGUUGUAUGAUUUGCAUCAUCCCUAAGGAAAAGUCUGGUAAAGAAAGUGGUUUUAUAACUUUGGAAUUCACUAAGUUUCCUAUACCUGAGAUUGUGUAGCAACUCAGCGUUCUUAUCCCUAAGGUGCGAAGGGUCACCUAUGAAAUGAAGGGAUAUAGUCAAAAUUAGGGUAGCAACAGCAUCCUGAAUUGGACUAUUGAACUCAUCAAGAAUAGGGACUCCAUUCUCAUCGACUUGAAUAGAAUUUAAGACAUCUAAUUGUUGCUGUUGGGUGAGAAGGUGAUCCCACCAACCUUUAAGUUGACCCGUAAACCCUGCGAUGAGAAUUUCUGCUAUGGCUCUAUCAGAAGUUCCCCCCUGAGUUUUAUAGGCAUUGGCUACCAUGGUCAUUUGUUGCAACAAGCCUAAGAUGUUGUACUCAGACAUACAUCAAUAUUCCACUCAUAGACAGAAGAUGCAUUAAAUCGCGAUUGAUUUAAAGCACUUGGUUUAUUAUUUAUAGCUAGAUCUGGUGGAGUCUUGACAGUAGGUAAGGCUAAUUCCCAAUGGAUUUUGUUGGCUUUAGGAGCAGAUGGUUCAUCUUUAAAUGCUUCUAUAUCGGAAGAGGCUAUAGAAACAUUGUCAUGUUCUAGUACACCAAUCUUGCUAGAUUGGGCACUAUCCGGGGCUAUCUGGACCUUAGAAGAAGAAGAAGAAGAAGCUUCUAUUCUAUCUAAUUGGUCUCUAAUGGCUUUAGUAAAAUAUGAUUUUGACUAUUGCACAAGCUUUUGGCUAGUUUUCGAAACCUGAAAAGGUUUGAAAAUAGGUUCCUUAAGCUUUUUGUCAGAAUCCGAUAUUGUGCUAAUAGGAGAAACAGCUAUGGUUGACCUUUGGAAUUGGCUUUCUAUCCUAGUCAACUGUUUUCCUAUCGUAUUUAAGUUAGUAUUACAGAAAUUAUUCUGUUGAAUAAUACUACUUAAAUUCGCAUCAGAAUCAUUUGGUUUAGGGAUUUUAUAAAGUGAGGCUCUAAUUUGGACAGGAGGUUCACCGUGAUUAACAGUUAAACUCCUAAGAGGUGAAUGCUCAGAUUCUAUAGUUCUAUCACUAUCAGAAAGUUUCCACUUAUAAAUUUUCUUCCUAAUAGUAAUAGGGUUUGAUUCUUUAAAAGGAUAAGAGAUGUUGUUAUUCGAAGAAUAUAUCUCAAACCAAUCAAAAAACAAUAUGUGAAUUUAUAAAUUCAUAAUAUGUGUCUUGAAUUUCUUUUCUUUGAUUUAGAAAAUGUUUAAAAAACCAAAGUCUUUUUUCUUUAUUACCGUCUGAAUAAAAAUCAUUGUGGAGAAAAGUUUUAUCCAGUUCAAAAUUUUUUUCAAUGACAUUUAUAACAUUUUCCGUGACUGCAGAAAACGUAUGAGAAGUUGGAGGAGAAGGUUCCUUCUCUUCCUGUCUUUGUUCAUGUUGGCUGCUAGUGUAGAUAGGGUGAGGAACACUAGUGGUAUAAUCAACAGAAUGUAUAGAGGAACUAGGUAUAUCCGAAGUGGAAAACCUGGGUUGACUUUGUUGAAAAGGAAGAUUUAUUACGGAAGGAACUUUUGUAAAUUUUCUUUCUAAUGAAGGAAUGCUUGAGCAAGAAUCUUUAUCGGAGAAUCUAGUUGAAGUAGAUCUCCUAAAGGACAGUUUUACUUUACCAUAUGAAUACUGAGUCACAUUUUGCAACUCUGUAUUUGGCUCAAGUUGUUUUGGAAUCACUAGAGCAGUGGCUCCUUCAAGAAUCCAUUCAUCGGGAAGAUUGACAUCUUUCCAUUGGAUAGGUUUUGGAAUAACAUUGUUAGCUUUAAACAGGUCAGUCUGUAAGAGAAGAGUCUCAUCUCUUUUUUACUGAAAUUUAUGUUGCGUGCUAAACGCAGAAAUCAUGGUUUUAUAGGAAAUUUUAUAAAUUAAGGCUACAGGAAUAGAUCCCUCAAUCAUAUCAUAAUUGUGGGUCUUGAUUUGUAAAAUCAUACUUUUUAAAAUGUUUUUGUCUUUUAAAGAAAUUGUUAUGUUCGGAUAACAAUUAAAUGAAAUUGGACCUUUACACAGACUUGAUUCUAUACUACUUAGUAAAGAAUCAUCAAAAGAGAUGAAUCGACCAUCUCUCAGAACGACAAGGAUGGAAGUAUUAAGUCCUUCUUUAGUAAGGGGUUUUAUGCCGACUUGUAUUAAGCCGAUGUGAAUAUAAUGAAAAUUUUUAUCUCUUAAUUUCUUUACAGAUUGCUCUGAAAAUAAAUGAAUUGUUUCAAAAGGCUUUGAAAGGGUUAUAUCGCGUUCUUCAGUCUUUAUAACAUAAUCAUUCUUUAAAAAAUCAAGCUUUUUUGUUUUAUAAAUAAUUUCUUUAUUAACUUUAGGUAAUUCCCAAUUAUCAAUUGCUUUAUUAAAAUCUUCAAUCACAAAUUCUUCCGAAUUCACAACAUUCUUUGAAUCACUAGUUCUUCCAGAAGAAGAGCUAGAGAAAGAUGAUGCUCUACAGGGUAGAGAAUCCAUGGUGUUAAAACUAAAAUCUAUAUGAAUGCCUACAGGUAUGGUUUUACAGCCCUAAACGAAAAAUCUUAUCCUAAAACGGGACUUACUACCAGUAAAAAAUUCAGCACACACACAGAGAAUAAUUUAAGACAACAUAGAUUCUUUACAACUAUAUCACAUAUACUUCCCAGGCUCUGAUACCAGAAGGAAAUGCCAUCCAGUGCCUAAAUCUUUUUAAAACCCAUUAUGUACCUACAGAAUCUGAGAAACGAUUUCCUCCUUUUCUCUGCUUCUGUACAAAUUUCUUUCUUCCCUGGGUAUGGAUGUGGAACUUCCGAUACCAUCCACAAGAUGCCCAACUAAUUUUACAAAGAACCUUUAAAGUUAAAUGGUGGUCAAAAUUUGAUGAACAAUCCAAAUUGACUGUUAAUAUGAUCGAAAAUUGGCUCUCCUCUAAAAACCUUCUUCACCCAACCAUUAAAGAUAUUAAAGCCCAAGGAACCUUCAUAUAUAUAUAUAUAUAUAUAUGUAAUUUUUUUUUUACUUUCGGACUUAAUGUGGUUGUUUUGACUCAUUGUCAACAAACAAUGUAUCUUGUCUAGAUUUUACUCAGCAUACCAACUCUCUAGUGAAAGAUCAUUACUGUCUGGCACAAUGAGCACUUAGUACCAUAUUUAUUAAAGGAAAAUUUUCCUCUAGCAUUUUAUGGGUCAUAUUGACUCAGUAUCGAGAGAGAUUGCAUAUAAGCUAUUUAGUGGGUGGUCUUGCCACAUUGUUGAAAGAAGGAUUAUUAUUGUCUGGUAUAGCGUGUUCUUGACACCACACUUAAUGGAAGAUCAUUACCCUCUAGCACACUAAGCUCUUAAUACUAUAUUUAUUAGAGUGAGGAUUUUCAGGAGUGGUAAUACCUAAAAUACUAGCUAUGCAACCUAAGAUGAGGGUGAAUUAGGUUUGAAAAAAAAAUUAUGUUAUGCUUGCAUAAAAGUUAAUGCAAAUCUUAAACAAAUUCAAAACAAUAGUAGAUAAACCAAUCAAAAAGUAAAGAGAUAAGGGAAAAGAAUUUCAAACACAGAUUUUUAUGUCGUUUGGCCAACCCUGCCUACGUCCACGCCUCCAACCUCACCGGGCUUGAGGAUUCUAUUAUUCAAGCCUCCAAGGCUUCAAUACCUUUUACAAUUGACUUCACAAAUGUCAAUCAACCUUUACAAUAAGAGAUUGUCCCAAAUCUCUUAACCUAAGUAUAUCUCACACUCACAAUCACUCGAAAAUAAAGAUUACAAAAGCGUUUUCCCUCACACAACAUAUAUGUUUACAAGUGAAAGCUCAAAGUGUGAUUCAACGAAACAAUGACAAGUUUAGAGCUCAGUAUAGAUUGUUUACUCAGUAGUAAGCUCAACUAUGACUGUUAGAUCACUUUUUAUUUGAAUUUGGUUGAGUCAUUUUAUGGUCGCUACUGAAAAACUAGUCGUUGUUGACUUUCUGCAUACAAUUAGACCGCCGUUAGCCUUUAACUAAUUGCCAUUUUGACUUAAGCAAGUGACUAUAAUUUCAAAUUGUUGGAUCAUCAUUUUCUAGAUGUUGAAUCGUCGUUAGUUUCCAAUGUAACACUUUAGGCGAAUCCCACAUCGGCAAAGCACGAGAGAGAUGCUGGGUUUAUAAGGGGUGAUCCACACCUUAAUUGGCAAGACGCAUUUUGGGAUGUAUGGGCGCCCCAUGAACAAAAUCGUGCUGGCUUUAUUAAGGGCUAAAACGGACAAUAUCUUGCCAGGUCUGGGUUGGGUUAUGACAUUAUGGUAUCAGAGCAACUCCACAUAUCCUCUUGAACGAUAGUGGGACAAACCUCAGCGAGAACGCUAAGUCCCCAAAGGGGGGGUGUAUGUAACACCUUAGGCAAAUCCCACAUCGGCAAUGCACGAGAGAGAUGUUAGGUUUAUAAGGGGUGAUCCAUACCUUAAUUGAUAAGACGCGUUUUAAGGUGUAUGGGCACCCUAUAAGCAAAAAUUUGCAAGUCUUGUUAAGGGUCAAAGCGGACAAUAUCUUAUCAGGUCUGGGUUGGGUUACGACAUUAUGGUAUUUUAGCGGCUCAGCGUGUCCUCUUGAACGAUUGUGGGGCAAACCUCAACAAGGACACUGAGUCCCUAACGGGGGUGUAUGUAACGCCCUAGGCGAAUCCCACAUCGGCAAAGCACAAGAGAGAUGCUGGAUUUAUAAAGAGUGAUCCACAACUUAAUUGGCAAGACGCGUUUUGGGGUGUAAAGCGAACAAUAUCUUGUCAGGUCUGAGUUGGGUCAUGACAUCUAGUAACUUGCAAAAGAGAUAUCGACUUACCAUAUUUCCAAAAGUCUAUUUGCCGUUAGUGUCCAGAAUUUAAACUUCAAAUUUUACUCAAUAUCGGUUAGUUGUUUAUAUACUAAGGGUUAGUCGAUUGCGUCCAGAGAGGAUGUAAUCUUGCCUUAAUUAAUCGGUUAGCCCUUUUUUAGCAAGCAGGAAACCGUUUAUUACCAAAAUUUUAUUCUAUGCUCAAUUCAUUGCGUGGCUUAAGAAAUUUGGACUAAAAAAUAUAUAACUCAAUGAAGAAAAAAAAAGUUAUAUACUUGGUAUCGUCAUCUUGUUAUAGCACUCAAAUAAAUGAAAUUUUAUCUUAAAGCUAUACCAGAUAUAUAGAUGCAAUACCAUUAGUUAACAUUCAAAGAUUCUGGGAAACUUUAAUACGACAUCAACUAAUCAAUUAGGUUGCAUUAGCCAACACAAAAUAACUAAAAACAGAACAAAUUCUAUGAAAAAUUAAUCUAAAAAUCUUUGAAAAGUAAUUGCUUUUGUACUAUGAAUUAAAAGUAAAAAGGAAAAGCAUUCCACACACUUUGACAUGCUAUGAAAUAUCUCAUAUACUUCAUUUUUUGUCUCGACCUCUCAACAACAGUCAAAAAAAUUUCAAAGAGCCAACUUCGACCUCGUGAAUUUAGAUUUAUAUAAGUAUAUACAAAUCGACAACAGGUCUUAUUCUAACGAUUAAAACUAAUGCUUUCCAUGGUCACUAUAAGUAAAAAGAAAUUAAAGUUAUUUUUCUCCUUUCUUUUUCCUAGGACAACUCUUGUUCAAACCAAAAAACCUUGAUCUUGAACAUCUUUAUAAUCAAAACACAAUUACCUACAUACAGUGCCAUAUCGUAAUGUGCAAAGAGGAAGACGCAUAAGACAAUCAAUAUCACUAAUAGCAUAUAUUUUCUUCCCUUUUUAAAUUGGAGACAGCCAGCUGAAGCUUGACUUGCUUAUCAGCCUCGCUUGGAUUCAACCACUUGAGAGGAAGCCAACAACAGUUUUUGCAUUAGAUGCUCUGCCUAUAUUUUCCUCGCCAAUCCUUUUACAUUGGAAGCAUAAGACAUUAAAAAAAACACUGAUAGUAACAAAUUAACUGACAAUUCAAAAUGUUAUACAAUUCAUGUUAAUUACUAUAAUCUAAUAAGGCAAGGAAAAAAAAUUAAGGACAUUAAUUGCAGAAAAAAAGUGAAACAAUUAUUCAAAAAUAUAGAUCUUAAUGUAUGAAAAUACAAACAAAAGCCUAAAGCCUAAAGGAUCUGUUUUUUGAUUUGAGAUUAAAAAAAUCAAAUUUAUAUUUUAACAAAGAAUAAUAAUUUUCAAAUUUACGCAUAUAAAAGAAUAUAAAAAUGUGUAAAUAUGUUUUCAUUUAGUUAGUAGCUUUGCUCGUCUAAACAUAACUCUUUUUUUAGUGUUGUAUUAAAAUAAAAAAUAAUUGAAUACUAUUUAGAGUAAUAUAUUAUAUAAUUUUAGGAAAAGCACAUCUACACCCCCAAAUUUUGGAGAAAUGGCCAUCAACACCCCCAAGUUUUUAAAGAGGGACACCAAGACCCCUUUUUAAUGAUUAUAACCUUUAUUUCUAUUAUCCCAAAAGAAUUAACUCUAAUAUUUUAUAAUAAAUAGAAAUAUAAUAUUAAAAUAAAUAUAAUAAUAUAUACAUUUUAAAAUAAUUUCAAUAUUUAAAAAAUAUUUUAAUAUUUUAUAAUCUAUUAGAUAUAUUUUAUUAUUUUAAAGAAAAUUUUAUGAUAAAUAGAAUCAUAAUAUUAAAAUAAAUGUAUUAAAAAUUUAAAUUAUUUUUAAUAUUAUGUAAAAUAAUAAUUUUAACAAUAUUAGUAUGCGAGAAUGUUUUUAAUUGUAGAACGUAUUUAAUGCAAAUAUUUAUUUAAAAUCUCUACAAUGAAUAAAAAUAUAUUAUUAAAAUAAAUAUAAUAAUUUACAUAUUAGAAUUUAUUAAAUAUUAAAUAUUUUAAUAUUGUUAUUCUACUGCAUAAAUUACAUUAUUUAUAGAAUUUGUAUGUACUAAAAAUUUUAAAGUCAAUUUUUUAGAAUAAUAGAGGUAAAUGGUAUAAUGGUCAAAAUGAGGUCUUAGUGUCCCUCUUUAAAAGCUUGGGGGUGUUGAUGACCAUUUCCCCAAACCUUGGGGGUAUAGAUGUCAUUUUUCCUAUAAUUUUUUUAGAAAAAGUUUACAAUCUAUAUACAAAUUAUGAUUUAUAAUUUAAUGGGAUUCUAUAUACGUAUACUUUAUAGUAUAGUCUGAAAGUUCUCCGAGUGUUAACUUGGGAACCUAUUCCCAUAAAUAUACAAAGAGGCAUCUGCUUUAUUUUAAAUUAAUAUUAUAAUAUUAUAGUUAUAUUAUUAAUUUGCUUAACUUUAUAAUAUAAUACCGGCAAUAAUUUGCAAUGAUAAUUAACAACAUUUAUCAUUACAUCAUUAAAAAAUUUAGGAAAAUUAUCAUUUGAAUACCCUUAGUUUACUUCAUUAUCAAAAAUACUACAACACUUUGAGGGUGUAUCAAUCGUCCACCCUAAGUUGACAAAAUGUAUCAGCUGACCACCAAACCGUUAGUUACCGUUUAAGUAUGAUGACGUCAGAAGGGUAAUUUAGUCUUUUCAUAUGAUACAAGUGAUAAUUUAAGGGUAUACAAGUGAUAAAAAGAGAAUUUAAUGGUAUACAAGUGAUAAUUUUCAAGGGUAAAAUCGUCAAUUCACUGUAAUUCCGUUAACUUUCAAACGGCAACUAAUGGUUUGGUGGUUGGCUGAUACAUUUUGUCAACUAAGGGUGGACGAUUGAUACACCUUCAAAGUGUUGUAGUAUUUUUGAUAACAGAACAAAUAUAGGGUAUACGAAUGAUAAUUUCCCAAAAAUUUAUUACCAACAAAAUGUUGUUGUAUUUAGAAUUAAAAAAAGUAUAAUAUUAAUAAAGUUAUCAUAUAUCUGUUCAGUUUAAUAAUAACAAUAAUAAUAAUAAUAGUAAUGGCUAACAAAUAUACUCAUCAAAAACAUUAAUAAUAGAUGUUAAGAGUGAAGGACAACAUUUGUCCAUGAGGUUCCUGAAAAACGCAACUUUUGUGCAGUAAAAUUAAAUCGACUUCAUUCAAAAAUAAAAAUCAAGAGGAAAGAUUGAAGUUUGUUUACCUCACUUGUAGUUUCAGAAACGACUUCGUGAGGUAGAAAAAAAUGACUGAAAACAACAAGGUACGAACACUGUCCAGAAAAUAUUCCUCUGCAUGAACAGCUUUUGUUUUGCCACGAUUUGAGUUAAAGCACCCCAAUUGUGAUGCCUCUAAUCAGUCCACACUUAGAAAUGUUCUAGAAGUUCAUAGGAUUUUGAAUCUUCAAAUUUCGUUUAGAAAUGAGAGAGAUAAUGAAGAAACAUAAAUGCUAAUUCAUGAUGAUUCAUUCCACUAAAUAAAGCCACCAUUAUCUUUUCAAUAAUGGCACCAAACAUUAUCAUGUGCUAGACCCACCCACUAAGCCAUUAUUUAUUGAAUGUGAUCUUAUCACUUCAAUAAUUUAUUUAAUCAAAUUAUUUUGAAUAAAUAAAUAGCUAAAUUAAUUAAUUUUGUCUUUAAUUAAUGAAGGGAAAUUAUCAGUCAUAUACCCUUAAAUGACACCAGUAUCAAACGUGCUACAACACUUUUCAAGUGUAUCACUCGUAUACCCUAAGUUGACAAAACACUUCUGCCGUCCACCAAUCCGUUAACUGUCGUUUGCGAGCGCUGACAUCGUAAGGAUAAUCUAGUCUUUUUUUAAAAACGACAUGUCAUCCCAUUUACCUAGUAAAAAACGACAUGUCAUAUGAUAUAUUUUGAUAAAAUGACAUGUCAUCCCAUUUAUCAUAUAAUUGUUAAUAAUUGCUAAAAAAAAAAGCUACUUUACAACCGAAUCUACUCCUUCAAAAUUUAACCUAAAUUAUUGAAGAUCUACUCCUCCAAGCUCAAACUUGAAUUUUUUAUGGUAUAAUAUGUAUAAUUGUAAAUAAUAUGUUGUUAAUAAUUUUUUAUGGUAUAAGAUGAAUAUUUUUUAUGGAUUAAUUGUUAAUAAGAUGAAUAUUUUUUAUGGAUUAAUUGUUAAUAAUAUGUACCAUUAAUAAUUCAUAUUUUUUUAAUUAAAAAAUGUAUUGUUAAUAACAAAAUAAAAAAAAUUGUGUAUUGAAAAUUUACAUUAAUUUUCAAGGUAAAUUUAUUUUUUUGCCUCAUUUUGAGUUUAAAGGGUAAAAUAAUCAUUUUGCUCAAAUUCUGUUAAGUUCUUAACGGUAGUAAACGGAAAGGUGGACGCUAGAACUCUUUUGUCAACUUAGGGUAUACGAGUGAUAUAAGCGAAAAAUGUUGUAGCACGUUUGAUACUGGUGUCAUUUAAAGGUAUAUGGCUGAUAAUUUCCCAUUAAUUAAUCCCAUUUUGAUAAAAUCAAAUGGUUAAUUGUGGGCUUAUUUUGUGACGUGUUCUAAUGCUUUCUCCUAAUCCAUAUCAGGUCCAAUAAAAGCCCAAAAUUGGUCUAGAAGUCCAUACUCAUUUACGAACCAGAACAUGUCCAAAAUGGUCAUUUUACGUGCUCGAUAUUAUACAUAAUGUUUAAUUAAGGAUUUAUGAAAUUUAUUUUGUUCCUUAAACUAUUUAUGGAACAUCUAAAUUUCUAUCUUAAAUCAUAUUUAAGAUAUAUAUAUAUAUUCAUUCUUAAUGAAUUAUAAUAUAAAUACCGAUUUUCCUAAAAUUAGGAAAUUUAACUUCUCAUUUUCUAGUAACUCCUUUUUCAUUUCUAUUAGGUGUGUGAUCUUUUAGGUUCUUUGUUAUAAGGUAGUAGAACUAUUUUAAUGAUAACUCUUUAUUCAUUAAAUGAUGCUAAACUCUUUAGUCAUCAAUUAGAACUUUUCUAAUGAUCUUAAGAUACAUUGGUAAUACGCUUUACCAAUAAUGAUCUUAAGGUUUCUACAAGUCAUGAGUGACACCUAGCAGUAUUUCACAACCACCCAAAUAACAAGAAUUGUUGGAUCUAUAGAACCUAUUCCAUUGUAUCUCUAUGUCUUGGUCUCUUCAUCAUCCAUGUCCAAAGAAAAGCACGGCUAAUGGUUUAGUGUGUUAAGCAUUUAUGCUUUAUCUCAAAAUAAAUCUAAAUGAACUUGGCAUGAAAAUAUAAUUUGAACUCCUUCAAACAUAUUUUACCUUGGCCAAGGAUUUCUCAUGCCAAUUCAUAUUAUCUCACAGGGACAUCCUUUUUGUAUAUUACAAAGUGAUGAAUUUCAUAUUGGCCAUACACUUGUCUCCAUACAUACCCAACCAUGACAGCUAUUGCUAGAUCUCUUCCUUGAUUAAGAAUUAAUCAUUAUGCUUUCACAUAUCAGAGAUGUCUAUGUAUAAGACAUCUGUGAUGCCUCAGGUCUAAAGACCAUUACUAAACAUAAUGUCUAUCACAAUGUAUAAUAAGUCAUUAACACUCAAAAUCAUAUGGCUUAUUAUAUUUGGUCAAGUUUAGUAAACUCGUUCUCUCAACAAGUACCUAUGUGUUUGACUUGACAUCUCAUAUCAAUGAUAUGAAACUCACUGUUCAUUUUAGUAUCACAUACCAUAAAUGAGUUAUAACACAUACUAGUGUUUAUAGGAAUUUAUCAUAAAUCCACUACUAGGAACUAUUUUAGAAGUAUAGUACAAAGGAUACACGUUUCAUAUUCUUGACAAACUCGAGAAUGUGUUGCUUAACGAUUUUACUCUUGGACUAUAUUCAUUAAAUUAAUUUAUGAAUGUUGAUAACUUUGCCAUUUUAUAAAUAUUAAAAUGCAAUCAUAUACAAUAAUUCCCUAAAAGCAAACACCAUUCGAUUGGCUUUUAGGGCAUAUCACUAACAAAGAGUACCAUUAAUCGUUAUACUAGUAAUAAAACAAUAUCAUCAAAUAUUAACCUUACAUGUAAUCAUGUAUAAGCUCCUAGAACAAUUCAUAGAAAUUUUUGUAACUUCAAAUCGGGGAGUAAAUAAAACCAUAAAGGGUAAUUUAAUUAAUUUCAUAGAAAUUUGUAUGAAAUAUUUUAAUUAGAGAUUGUUAUCUUAUAGUUGCCAUAUCCAAAUUUAAAUUGUACUAUUAAUAUUAGUCAAUAAUACAAAUAAUUAUGAGUAAUUGCAAUAAUUAGUAUUGCUACUAAUAUAAUUGUUUGAAAAUUAUCCAACGGCUAUAAUGAAAAAUUAUUUUAAUUCUCAUAUUGGUAUUGAUAGAUAUAAUAAGAGUUUGAAUUCCUUUACGGUACAUUUUAGAGUUGAUUUCUUCUAAAUACUUGGGAAAAUUUUUUUUUGAUCUGUGUUAUAGACCUAUCUAUCUAGAUUGCAUUGCGCCACAUAGAGUUAGAUAAAAAAGACACAAACUCCCAAAAAUAAAGAAUUUUCAAAAAAUUUUAUAUUGCAAAAUAUUUGUAGGUUUAUAAUGUCAUAAUAAAAACAUAUAAUUUAUUUAAUAUCAAAAAUAAUUUCCUUGAUUUAUAAUGAAUAUAGUUUACCCUAAUAUAAAUAUUAUUCUCAUUAUUUUAGACGUUACAUAUUUUAAAAAUAUAUUUUAUAUUGAGAGGUUUUUGAUACUCUCAUAAAUUAAAUGAAGAUUUUAAUAUUUAGUUAAAAGAUGAAGGAACCAAAUUACCUUGAUAUUUGCAAAGUUUUCCAUUUGAUUCGAUGACUGCUUAGAAUGCCAAUAAAUUUAAAAUAAACAAUUGAACUUGUACAUUAAGGGACCCCAAUUUCGUAGAUCAGUCAUCAGUCAUACUCAAGAGUCAAGCUAAAGUCACUCAUCGGUCAUCACGUACUGUGUGUCGUCUGUCAAACCCUCGCUACUGAGUACCAAUUGAAGCUGAUUUUUCACCAAAUCAUUUUGUCUCACUAACAAAAAUGGUUCGUCUUGCAGGGAUUGAAGCUCACAAUCGGUGACUUUCUUACAAAUCAGUAGCUCAUCUUUCUCACUCGUUGUAUAUAUGUGCUUACUUUUAAUUUGCUGCAUUUUUAUGUGGGUCUUUGUUGGCGUGGAGCCCAUGCUGGGUCGCUUGGAUUUAAUUUUAAUCAAGGGUUUUGGAGUUGACGAUGGAUGCCACGUGGAUUUAUUACAUAUCAUUUAAUUUAAUUUUAUAUUUAGGAGGUUGCUUUCUUCAAGAAAUCGGUGUGUAUAUUACAAAAUAUAUUUGUGGAAAAUGAUGCCAUGUGGUCCCAUUCAAACUUUAUUACGUAUACUAUAACUAUGUGAAAGAUAAGGGUUAUCCUUGUUUACUCUAUCGUCUAGAAAUUGGAAAAUGAAGCUGUGCGGUCCAUUGAAGCUUUAUAGUAGAUGUAGGGAAGGGUUUGAUUGUGUAUGUUUGUCUGUAGGAACCCUAUGAGAAUAGGAACCCUAAUAAUUAUUUCUAAUUUUACUUCAGACCCACUAUUUUAAUUCUCAUUCCACCUCUUAUUUAAAUAAGUAAGCAUAUUAUUUAUUUUUAUUUUUUAAUUUCCAUUCUCAUUCUCAAAUAAAUAAAUAAACACACCAUUAGCAAAUUGAAGUUGUUUCUAUUGAACUGUUGAAGUGCACGCAUGCAUUUGCUAUAUAUAUGAUUUUUCAAAUCUUUUAGUUAAGUGGAAAAAAUAAAGAAGUAAGGUGAUUUCAUUGAAAAUAACGGAUAAAAAAUAUAAUUAAAUAUUUUAUUGAUAAUGAGACAAAACUCAUUUAUGUGAUUUAAAGAAAGAAAGAGUAAUGCACAAAUUAGGGGUAAAGAGCGAGUGAAUCAGUCCCACUGACAGUAAGAUUUUUUCAUGAUCUAAUCAUAUCCUGAGUAAAUAACUCAAUUAUUAAUUGGUAGUUAAUAAAUAAAAAAAUAAAAAAAAUUAAAUUUUACCCAUAUACUACCACUAAAAGAUAUACAUAAUAAGAGAUUCUUAAAACCUUAAUAAAGCUCAGAUGAGAAAAUGAUCAUUUUCCCUUACGUAACCCUGUAUAUACGUACUACUACGGUCAUAUGUACUUAGGCAGUGUUUACUUUCUGGAGUGGGAGUGUGGAGUGUGGAUUCCUCCCACUCCAGUGUUUACUUACCUUAAAAAAAGAGGGAGUGGGAGUGGGAAUCCGUGGGUCCCUCUUCCCAUUUUAUCCUUAUAAAAAUAAAUAAAUAAAUAAUAUCAUAUUUAUUAAAAAUAAUAAUUAUAUCAUAUUUAUUUUAUUAAAUUUAAUAAAAUAAAAAUAAAUAAAUAUUAUAUUUAAAUUAAUAAUAUUAAACAUUAAUUUUAAUAAAUAUUAAUUAUUUAUUUAAUUAAUAAUAAUAAAUAUUUUAUUCUAAAAAAUAUUAAUUUUGUACUAUAUUAUCAAUAAUAAUAUUUCAUUUGUGUUGCUAUUAUUAAUAAUUUUUAUUCACAUAAUUUAAAUUAAAAUUAAUAAAAAAUUAUGAUUUACAUAAUUAAGAAUAUUAGUAAUUAUUAUUAAUUUAUAAAUAUAAUAAAAUAUUUAUUUUAUUUUUCAAAUAUAUUUUUUAUUAAUUUUUUAAUUACAAAUUAUAAUUCUGUACAUAAUGUUAAAAUUGUAAUUUAAAACAAUUUACUCCUAAUUCAAGACAAACUAAACAAAUAAUUAGGAUUCUGAUUGAUAAUCCAUACUUUCAUUUAGUCUAAGUAAACACCCUACUCCCACUCCCACUCCACACUCAUAAUCCAAGGAUUCCCACUCCUCAGGAUUUCCACUCCAAUCCAAAAAGUAAACGCAGCAUUAAUUCACAAAAGGGGCACUAAACGCAGCAUUAAUUCACAAAAGGGGCACUGAAUUAUUCAAGUUUGUAGGGCAGCUGCAGCUUGUGGAGCCCACACAGUGUUCAAUCUCAUCGAUUUCUCUCAGGAUUUUGACUUGUGGUUUCCAUAAUUCACCAACUUCUUUCUGCUUGCUCUCUCUUUUCCAUUGAUCCGGUUUCCAUGGCAGAGCUCUUACUCUCAGCUUUCUUCCAGGCUUUGUUUGACAAGUUGGCUUCCCGUGAUUUGGCCAACUUUGUCAGUCAACUUCGAGGAGGGGUUGAUUCUGAGCUGAGGAAGUUGGAAAACACUUUGAAGAUGAUUCAGGCUGUGCUGAGGGAUGCAGAGGAGAAGGAAGUGACGAGUGAGACAGUGAAAUUGUGGCUGGACAAUCUCCGAGACUUGGCUUAUGAUGCUGAGGAUGUACUGGACGAGUUUGAUACUGAAGCUUUGAGACAAAAGUCGAUGGCAGAUCAAGCCAGCACAUGCAAAUUGAAGAACCUUGUCCCUUCUUGUUUCAACAUUUCCGGUGGUUUCAACAGUUCCCGUAUGCUUUCCAAGAUAGAAAGUAUCUCAAACCAGUUGGAACAACUCUUUCAAACAAGAGCUCAACUUGGAUUGCAAACGACACCCGGAGGGACAUCAGCUGCUUCACAGGAACAGCAAAGACAAGCCAAUGCUACUUCAAGUGUGCCAGAGGAACCUGCUGUCUACGGCAGAGAUGAAGAUAAGGCCAAGAUACUUGAUAUGGUGUUAAGCAAUGGAUCGACUGAUGCCAACUUCCAUGCCAUAUCCAUCAUCGGCAUGCCAGGGGUUGGGAAAACAAAGCUGGCCCAGGAGGUCUACAAUGACGAGGCAGUGGAAAUAUUCGACAUAAAGGCAUGGCUUUGUGUAUCCGACGACUUCAAUGUUUUCAGCAUCUCAAAGACACUUCUCGCGAAAAUCACCUCCAAACCUUUUGAUGUAGUGGAUAUCGACGAGGUGCAGGUUCAAUUGAAAAAGGCCGUGGCUAAGAAAAGGUUCUUGUUGGUGUUAGAUGAUGUUUGGAACGAGAACUACAACUCAUGGUCAGCAUUGAAAGCUCCCUUCAUCACCGCUGCACCCAAAAGUAAGAUGAUCGUGACCACACGCAAUUCCUCCGUUGCGUCAACAAUGGGAGCGGUUGAACAAUACAAUCUAAAGCCUCUAUCAAAUAAAGAUUGUUGGUCUAUAUUCAUGAUGCACGCUUAUGAGGGUAAGGACAUUAAUGCAGUUUCAAUUUCAGAAUCAUUUCGUAAGAAAGUAGUUGCAAAGUGCGGUGGUUUGCCACUGGCCGCAAAGACUCUGGGUGGUCUUUUACGCUCAAAGGGAGAUGACGAAUGGGAUGAAAUUCUAAACAGCAGUGUAUUAGAUUUACCUCAAAGUGGCAUUCUAUCUGUUUUGAGAUUGAGUUACCACUAUCUUCCAUCUCAUUUGAAGAGAUGCUUCGCUUAUUGUGCAAUACUUCCAAAAGAUUAUGAAAUCGAGGAGAAGGAACUUGUUUCUCUAUGGAUGGCUGAAGGCAUUAUUCAGCAAUCAAGAAACAAUAGCAAGCAGCCCGAACUUCUGGGUCGUGAGUAUUUUCAGGAUCUAUUGUCGAGGUCAAUACUCCAACCUUCAAGUAGUAAUACCUCUAAAUUUGUCAUGCACGACCUCGUUCAUGAUUUGGCUCGAUGGGUUUCUGGAGACACAAGUUUUAGAUGGGAAGAGGCCAACAAGACAGUCACCCCUGUACCGAAGGUUCGUCAUUUUGCUUAUGAUCUUAGCCUUUAUAUUAGCAAGGGCAAGUUUGAGGUCUUGCACGAAGUUCAGCAUCUCAGAACAUUUCUGCCGUUGUCAAUUUCAAGUUUUCGUGGUUACAGCAUGAACAAUGUGGUAUUUUCUGAUUUGUUACCAAGGUGUGUGAAAUUGAGGGUGUUAUCUUUUACCGGUCAUUAUAUCAACAAGUUUCCUACUAGAUCAAUGAGUGGUUUGAAACAUUUGAGGUAUCUUAACCUUUCUGCCACAUUGAUUAGAAAAUUACCAGAGUCAGUGUGCUCUCUGAUUAACUUGCAAAUUUUGUUGUUAAGACGUUGUUUUUGCCUGAGGAAGUUACCAUCCAACAUCAGAAAGUUGAUUAAUUUGCGCCGUCUUGAUAUAAUGGGUGCAUAUUUAAUCAAAGAGAUGCCAUUUGGAAUAAAGGAGUUGAAGAAUCUUCAGGUGCUAUCUAAUUUUAUUGUGGGCACGGGUACCAGAUCAUCCGGCUUGAAAGAUCUGAAGAGAUUAACACUUCUCAAUGGAGAACUUUGCAUUUCGAGAUUAGAGAAUGUGAAUGACCCGCGGGAGGCAAAAGAAGCUGCAUUAUGGGAGAAAAAGAAUCUAGAAACAUUGUCCUUACUGUGGAGGUCUAAGUUUGACAGCUCACGAAGAGAGGUUUUAGAAGAAAGUGUACUUGACGUGCUAAAACCUUAUCCAAAUAUCAAGAAACUCACAAUUAUGUGCUACGGUGGGCAAAGAUUUCCUUCUUGGAUAGGAGAUCCAUCUUUCUCCGUGAUAGAGGUCCUUAAAUUAGAAAAUUGUGAGAAUUGCACAUCCUUGCCAUCGCUUGGGUUGUUGAGUUCACUUAAGCAUCUUACAGUUAAAGGUUUGACAAAGCUCAAGAGCAUAGGUAUUGAGGUUUAUGGAAAGGAUUGCUCAAAGUCGUUUCAAUCAUUGAAGAUUCUUCGUUUUGAGAAUUUGCCAGAAUGGGAGCAUUGGGACACGGAGUUCAAAGAAAAUGGUCUUGUUGCAGGAUUCUCUAGCCUCCGUCAACUUUCCAUUGUGAAGUGUCCCAAAUUCUCUGGAAAAUCACUGGAGCAUCUGCCUUCAUUGGGGAGGCAAAGCACAACUUUAGCAUGCUUACCUGAAGAAAUUUUAGGCAAGAAUUCACAACUGGAAAGCUUGUACAUCCAAGAUUGCCAUUCUCUAAGAUUGAUUGCAAGGAAGCUAUCUUCAUCUCUUAAAAGCCUUAAGAUUCGGAGUUGUCAAAAAUUACAGCAGUUGGUGGAUGAUGAAGAAGGUGCUUCUUCUUCUUCAUCAAUGAUGCUGAAACACCUAGAGAUAGGGUAUUGCCCACAGCUGACCAGUUUCUCAUCAGGAACCCAGCUACUUGAGGCGCUUGAAGUCCUCCACGUAAGUAAUUGUCCAUUGCUGGAGUCAAUACCUGGAGGUCUGCACAAUAUUCAGAGCAUUAAUAUAGAAGACUGUGCAAAUGUUGUCUCCUUGGCAGAAAGAGGGCUUCCCAACACCAUUUCAAGUGUUAAAAUAUGGAGUUGUGAGAAGCUUCAAGCCCUGCCCAAUAACAUGCACAGACUACACUCACUUCAAUUUUUAGAGGUAAGGCGGUGUCCAAGUCUUGUUUCCUUGGCAGAAAGAGGGCUUCCCAUCACCAUUUCAAGGGUUUUCAUUGAAGAUUGUGAGAAACUUAAAGCUCUACCUGACAACAUCCACAAAUUGAACUCUCUUCAAUUUUUAGAGAUAAGGCGAUGUCCAAGUAUUGUAUCAUUUCCAGAAGAAGGUUUUCCCGCCAGUCUGAAAUCACUUGUUAUUGGAGGAGAUGUGAAAAUGUAUGAGGCACUCAUCCAGUGGGGGUUGCACAAGCUUACCUCUCUUAGACGCCUCUUGAUUGCUGAAGAAUGUCAUGAAGCAGAGUGUUUUCCAGACGAGGAGAUUGGAAUGACGUUGCCCACCUCUCUAAUUGAGUUGCAGCUUUGGGGACUGUCAAAAUUGAAAUUGCUAUCUUCCACGGGUUUUCAGUGCCUCACCUCUCUUGAAUAUCUGUGUAUCCAGAAUUGCCUAAAUCUCACAUCCUUUCCAGAGGUGGGCCUUCCAUCCUCACUCUUGGAACUAAAAUUAAUAAUGUGUCCAAUGCUUGAAAAAGAGUGCAAAAGGAAUAAAGGAAAAGAGUGGUCCAAGAUAGCCAACAUCCCUCGUGUUGUGAUAGACGGAGAAAUCAUAUAUACAGUGGAGUAGUUUUUAUUAAUCAUUCCAUCUCUUAUCAUACCCAACAAUCAAGGUCAGUUGAUUUCUAUAAUCCACUAUAACAAGCUCUUUUGAUUCUGCACUUGUAUCAUUAAUCGAUCACCUUACCUAAAUUGAAAAUGCUUAUCUCUUUUUAUUUUUAUUUUCAUUUUUAUUUUCUGUUUUCUUAUUCUUCAGAAUGAUGCUAGUUGACAGUUUCAAAUGACAAAUGCUUUGGGAGUAGAAAUAAUUUUUUUAACUCGUGAUGGUGAGUGAGUAGUAAUCAAAGAAAUUCUUUCAGCUUAGUAAAAAUAAUAAAUGGUACAUGCUGUUAUGGAUUUUAUACUAUACAUUCUAAGGUUCCUUAUGUCUGCUUGUUUUCAGGUGAUGAAUCUAUUUUGUUACAGAAUUGGAUUGAAAGUAAGCUGGGUAAUAAGUACACAAGGGCGUUAAUUUUUUGGAUUUCCUCAUGGAGUAUGGAUAUGGGAUAAACGAAGUGUCAAAGGCAAUUUCAACUUAUUGAUUUUUCUACUGCUGUGGUUAUGAUUGAAAGGUAGUCAAAAGAAAUUUGCAAACUUAUAUAUAGUGGCAGAUUUUGGUAAUGCUUUUUAUUUUUUUUUGGCCAUUUUUGGUCAUAGACAUUUAGAUAUUUUAGAUCCCGAAUUUUAACAUUAAUUUCAUGCCAUUUUUACUUCAGAGGGAUGUUCAGUGGGAAUUGAGUUGCAAUUUUAAACUAGAAUCGGAGUAUGGCAUUUUGGAGCUGAGCAUACUUGACGAAUGAUUAUAUGAACUGCUGUGGUAAGUGGUAACUAAAGAAAUUUGUUUGCUUAAGUCAAAUUUCAUUUUGGUGUUCUGGAUAUACAUGCUUAAGCUCCUCUUAUUUAUUUCAGGUGAUGAAUUCAUUUUCUUCUUCAAAUAAGGGAAGAAAAGUCGGAAAGGUUUAAUCUGAUCUUGAAGUUAACAGAUUGAUGUUAAUUGUACAACUAGAAUGGGCUCUCUUGUCCUACUGUAUGAUAUCAAAUUUUCCAAUAAGAUGGCAUUUGUGUACUUAUUCCUUCUCCCACCAUUUUCUUUCUUUCUGGUGAAGAGUGUCUACUUAAUAAGUCUUUGUUUUCUUCAGGAUUGCAUGAAUGCCAAGAAUGGAGUGAUUAAAUAAGUGCUGCUGCGGCCUGCUUUUCCUUCUUUGGUAUUGAAGGUAACUCAAUUCGGCAGGUGAAGACAGCAGCAACCCAGUAGAUAGAUGCAAUUUAAGGAUUGUGUACCUCAAUUAUACCUUGAUAUUAUUGAUAACAUGUUAAUUAUAUUUCAGUUCUGCAAUUAUAAGGAAAAUUGAGUCGUCGGCACAGUGCGCAGCAACAGUUGUUCAAACUUCGAACAGUCGGUUUCUGCAGGUAAUUAGCUCUUUUUUCUUUUUUCUUUUUUUUUGGGUUAUUAAUUACAUUUUAAGGGUUAUUAAUUACAUUUUAAUUAAGUUGAUUUUAGGACCUUUAAAGAUUCAAUUUUUCAUUUUCUUUUUCUUCAAAGGGAAGCAAGUGGACUGUAUCAAACAUACCUGAUAAAUGAAGUAUUCAUGCCUGAUUUAAAAGUUAUUAGCUUUUUCAUCCGCUUGAUAGUAACUAAAUGAGCUUUUGAGCUCAGUGGCAUUAAUUGUAAUAACUGAUGUUUUAGAUAUAUUAAACAUGCCAAGUUCCAUUGUAAAUAUUAUUGAUUAAAUCUUAAGCUUCUAGUUUUUGCUAAAGAUUCAUAGAUAUAAGAUAUUGUACUGCUUUGUUCUGUUGCAGAGUAAUCGAUGAUAAUUUACUGAUAAAGAAUUUGGUGAAAGCCAACAACUCAAAAUGUUUAAGUGAGGGAAUGAUGAGAUCAUGUGAGCAAAACCUGGGUAUCAGCAUCUUAAUGGCGAUAUGGAAAUCCUUGUUGAGGCAAAACUACAGUUGAAUCAGUUGAAGUUCAUCUGAUGAGGUGCACAAUCUCACAUCUCUCAAGUAAAUGCUGUCCUACAGUCCUAGAUAUUGAAGCUUUUCGCAUUUCAACAACUUUUUGCAAGACAGGUGAGGAUGGUGGGAAAACUAAAAAUCUGGACCACCAGCUAACUCCUAGUCAUUGCCACCCUUGGAUGUUUCUGGAUUUGAUCAAACCAAAAAGACUUUUGAAGUUGUUAUUUUAUGUCUUCAUAAAACUAUAAUGACCAAGCCGCCAGUGUAACAUUCCUGAAAGAAUAUUGUGAUUGCUUCAGAAUAUGCUCGGUGCAUAACAAAGACAUCCUCGUAGAAAAGCAUACAUAGCUAAUAACCAGGUAAAUAUUCCUUGAUUCUUGCCAGGUAACUUCUAUUCCCAGGUUUCCAGAUAAUUUACAUUUCAGAAAUUGUUCUUAGUUGAAGAAUCUGAUUUACAUUUUGUUUUCCAGAAUAUGUACAUUUUACAAUAUGAUGUGCUUUAGUUGCAGUAUCUGGGGCACCUUUCGAAUUUCACUUGCCUUUUUCUUUGUUUGCAUGUGAUUUGACUUGAAGGAUGCCAACAUGGCUAGAUAUUUGAAGAAACACCAAAAGAGGCUUAAUGCCAGGGGAACUUUCUCGGGCACUUUUGCUCCCAAGCCUUUAAUCCCACAAACAAAUUCAGGGAGUGAAUGCAUGCCAUUCAUUUGUGGUCCCAAAAACAGGUUGAUACCUGGCCGCUGGUACUGAACAUCUCUGCAAUUUGGAAGCAGGGUAAUAAUUGUGUUGACACACAAGCUUCAAACUGUUAAAGCUAUACCCUUCUUGCUUCAGGAAUCCAUGUUGUAUGUCUCAAAUUCUGAAAGCAAAUGAGAAUUACUGCUUCCUUUAAGGCACCAUUCCAAGAUCUGCUUUUGUAUUCAUUCAAUCAGAUCAAUCAUAUGGAUUGUCAACUUUCAAGGAUACGAUGAAUUAUGAGUGAACAGAGGACUUGGAGGAAGAAUCAUUAAGAACAGAGCAAAAACUGAGAAGCAGAUAAGAGGAAGUUGGCUAUCAUUGAAGAAGAGGCAGCUUGCAUUGCUUUAGUUAAUGAUGAUAACCGUCAAACAUGCUCUUGGUUUGUAUGUUAACAUGAUUGGAGUAUGAGAGAAACUACAUUUGUCUAAUUUUUUUGACUUCAUUGAUUUUUUUUCCCCUCUCACUUAAUCUUCAAAUCAAAAUCUCAUCUUUGAUCAAACUUGAUCACAAAAUAUUAUUAAUGUUUGAUACUACUUGUCAAGAAAUUGCUAAAAUGUUUAUUCACUACGAAUACUGUUGAACCAAGAUCAGUAAAUGACCAAUCUUGAUGCCACAAGAUCUGACUAAACUCUUUGAUUAUUCACCAAGGGACAAAAGAAAUUAACAAUUGAAACAAACCGCGUGGAAUCAAAUUAGUUAUAUUCGGUUAUACAAGCUGAGGUGGCAAGCUGAGUCAGCAAGGGUGGGUCCCCAGGUGGUUUAAAUCGGUUGUUAUAACCAGCUGUAUUAACUGAUAGCUAUAUAAGCUACAGUGAGAGCUGAUCAGAUUAGUUCUACGGAGUGAGAUCGAUUGUGUGGGUUUUCUAGUGAGGAGAAUAUCUUUGUGUGAGUGAAAUCAGUUCUUGCUCUUGGAAGAAUCCAUUUUAAUCUUGUUCAUCUUCUAAUAAAGCUUUAGCUCUGCUGUUCCUGAUCGUGGAUGUAGGUACUUUGGUACCGAACCACGUUAACUCUGUCUUGAGUCUUUAAGUUUCUUUUCUUACUCUGGAAUGUUUCGCUGUGUCCUCUGGUUCUGGUUUCUUGCUUGUUUGUGAUUGGUUUCUGCUUAAGAAGGGUUUACGAAUUUGGUCUGUUGCAUUAACAAACAGAAACGGAAUCAAAGAAAUCACAAAUAAAGAACACACACAGCAAUUACAGAGGAUUCAGCCAAAGAUGGCCAGCGUCCUCUUGAACAAGAACAAAUUACAACGGUGAAGGAAUUUUCACAGGCUACAGAAUGAACCCAGCUCCAGCCUCUAAGGCUUUAUAUACAGCUCACAAUGGAUAUGGAAAGGUCCCCUACUUACCAAACAGGUCGUUCCCGCUUCCUGUAACGGCCGUAGCGCCUUUUCAUUCAGCUGAUACACGUGCAACGCAGGUGUACUGAAAAUAUUUUCUUUGGUGGGUGAUUGCACGUGCCUCGCAGGUGAGUCACUCAGCGCACACCGCUGACACAUGAUCGAAGUCGUACGCAUCAUGUAAAAUAAAGCCGACAUGGCAUCCAUAAGGAAACGACGGCACAGUGACUCUUAUUUUCAUAAACCGACUUUGUUGUCUGCUAUUUAUUUCUGAUUCAAUAGCCUGUCCCGUAUAUUCGUCCGAAAAAUGGAUGUUUGCCACAGCAAAAAUUUUCCAAUUAAUUAAUGAAAUAAAAUAUUGACUAAUUUUCUUUUUCUUUUUUUAACAAACAAUUAGUAAUACUAGCAAUUCCAUGCGACAACUGGAAGGAGUUAAUUGUUGUUUGAGGAAUUAAAUAGAGCGACCGUGAUCUCCUCCAAGUGAAAGUGAGCAAAUGGUUGAGCAGGUCACCUUGACUAGGUGGUAUGAGCUUGAUCAAAUCACCUCGACCAAGUACAAUGAGGUUGAGCAGAUCGCCUUGACCAGGUGGUGUGAGCUUGAGCAGAUGACCAUGUGGUAUGAGCUUGAGCAAAUCACCUCGACCAGGUGCUAUGAGCUUGAGCAGAUCACAUCGACCAGGUGCUAUAAGGUGGAGCAGAUCACCUCGACCAGGUGCUAUGAGGUGGAGCAGAUCACCUCGACCAAGUGCUAUGAGCUUGAGCAGAUCAAAUCGACCAGGUGCUAUGAGGUGGAGCAGAUCAUCUCGACUAGGUGCUAUGAGGUGGAGCAGAUCACCUCGACUAGGUGCUAUGAGCUCGAGCAAAUCACCUCGACUAGGUGCUAUGAGCUCGAGCAAAUCACCUCGACCAGGUGUUAUGAGCUCGAGCAGAUCACCUCAACCAUGUGCUAUGAGCUUAACCAGAUCACCUCGACCAAGUGGUCUAAACUUGAGCAGAUCACCUCGCCCAGGUGAUGACCAGGAAUAAAGACUCAGUUAAAAUAAACCACCACAAAGCUCCUCCGAAAAAUCAGGGUAUUAAUUUGAUCAAUUAAUGGUUAUUGUCACGAUCUAAGGCCGUGGAUGUGGGGUGUUUUAUAAAAUCCCCGAGAAAACCACGCAAAGGGGGAGAGCUCUUUUUCCCUUGAUCUCACUGAGAAAUUCUUUCUGGAGACUCUACUUUACUUUUCUGCAAAUUAUUCAAAGAGCUUUUGGUUUUAAGGCAAUGUUUAUUAAACCAUAUGAGAAAUGGCAUAUUUGGCUUUUCUUAUAACCUCAUAACUGACUUGAGCAUCGGAGGGUUUACGCCGGAAAAACUUUCGGCACCUCUGACCAUCUUCUGUAAUUUCAGGUACUUAUUGAUCGUCAGCUUGAAGAUUAUAUGCUCAUAACUGUUCUGCUCAUAGUCAGAGAAUAUUCUCAGAGAUCAAUCAGCAGCUUCCCACCAACAAAUUUAAUACUGAUGCAGGGAUCUGAAACUGAGUCACUAACCAAUUGGUUCAGAUUUCGGCAUCAACAAUUGUCCUGCUAUUAAUCGGACUUUUUUGAGUCCAGAGACUUUUCUUUCCUUGGAGAAAAAUUGCACCAUGCGUCCAAUCACUUGGCAAAAUUCAACGUGUAACGCCUUUGAAUUUUUUUUUCCCUCUCUUUAUUAAUUAUUAUGGUAGUUCUUAGAUAGAUAAUAAGAAUUUGUUGUUUCUUUUUUAUUGGUUUAUUCAAGAAAUUCAGAGAAUGAUUCUAGGCUUCUCCAAGUUACUAGAAUUAUUUAAAAUUUCUUAAUGUUACAUUUAUUAAUUACGCAAGACAUGUGCACCUACAUUAUUACUUGCAUUUGUUAUGCAUUUAUUAUUUAUAUUUUUCAUAAAAGCCUCUAUUUAUUUAAAGAUGCAAACAUUCAUAUUUACAUUUAUUUAAGCUUUUUACAUAUUUAUUGUUGCUUUCCUAAAGUUUCUUUAUUCAAGUUUACUUUAAAUUUAUUCAAGUUUACUUUAUAUUACACUUAUUAAAGAUUUACUUUAUAUUUAUUAUUGUUUUACUAAUUUUUUUUUAAUAAAGUUUAUUUUAAUUUAUUAUUACACUUAUUAAAGUUUGCUUUGAUUAUACUUAUUAAAAAUUUGCUUUAUAUUUAUUCUUUCUUUAAUAAAAUUGCUUUGUUAAAGUUUACUUUAUAUGUAUAAUUGCAUUUAUUAUUGUUUGCUUUAAAUUUGUUGAAUCUUGAAAACGUGGACUCGGAGAAGGAAGCAUAAUUAUUCAACUUCUUUCAAUUGUUCAUCUUCAUUCUCUCUCAAUUCCAAAAAUCUAAAUUCUAGGUUUCUCAUAGCAACCUUCUCCAAAUCUUCAAUAGAGUUAGAGAUCUUAAUUAAUUUGGAAGCUUCUUGAUUUGGUGAGUCUUUAUUUGCUUAUGUUUUUAAAGACCAAAUUCACAAAAUUAUUUAUACCACAAAAUGAACUCGAAAAAUUCUGAAUUUUUAAACAGAAGUUAAUAUAUCUGUUUAAUAUUUCUAGUUUUAAUUUCAUAAUUUUCUGAUUAAUACAUAAUUUCAUAAAAAUCUCGGAAUCAAUAAUGUUCUCACUACAAGAAAAAGUGCCUACUAUGACAAGCAAAAACUGUCAUAGUAGGGGGUGGAUGACAGUUGUUUAUACCGUCAUUGUAGCCACCAUCAAGAAUUGAUGACAGAACAAUACCAAUUAUAAUCUGUGAUAGAUAUUGCCAAUCACAUAACUGUCAUAACUUUAUUUAGAGGAGAAUAUAAUAAAUUUGAAUUUGGCUCUUUUUUUUUAAAUUUGCAUGCCAUAUUUUGAAUUUUUUGGCGGGAAAAUUAAAUUUGGCGCGAAAUGCAAAUUAUAAUUAAAUUAAUUUUCUCAAUUAAAUCAAAAAUUGAAAUUAUAUUUAAUAAAAAAUGGGUAUUUUGUUUGCAUCAUGAAAUUAUUAUCAUUUUAAUAACAAUCCUGCAAUUAAUUUAUUAGAAAUUAAUAUUUCAUAAAUUAGCUAAUUAAUUAGAUUAUUAAAAUUAAUAUUGCAACUAAAAAUUCACUGACAAAGAAAAUGAAAUGGAUAACAUUGACUAAGAUUUCAUAAUUGUCAGCAAACAUAAUUUAAUCAAAUUCGAGAGUGACAAGUCCAACAUAAAUAGAAGAAGAGUAUUGUAACAACCUAAAAACUAAAUUCCAGAAACAUGUACAACACAAAUGAACCAUGAUCAGUUCAAUUCCAGUAGUCAUAAUUGUCAUCACCAUUUCAAGUUUUAUUGCAAAAGGUUAAAGGAUUACUAGAUUUAUUUUAUAAAUAUGGUUUGGGUAAUGAUCCUUCAAGACCUCGUAAAGAUGCCUAUGGAAAACAAGUAAUAAUUACUUCACUGCAUAUCUAAAUAAUUAUAACUAAUUAUAUUGCUAAGAAAAUAAGUAAUUAAUUACUUUAUGCAACAAUAACAAUUUUUUUCCAAGCCAUAGAAUCAUACAAUGUCAUCAAUUGAUAAAUAUAAUUCAGCUUGUUUAUUGUCAAAGACCCCAAGAUAAAUUUCACUAAAUGAUGAUCUAGUCAACCCUCAACAAGCGUACUUGCAAAGAACAUCUAUUUUUGCUGGUACUUUGUAUUCCUGCAUAUUCUUAAUAGAUUUCUUUAUAUAACUAGAAUAAUAAAAAAUAUUAUUAUUAAUUUAAGACAUAUCAAAGAAAAACAAUAAUUAUAGAGAUGUGUUGGGAAAAGAACUCACACAAGCAGUUGCAAAGUAAGUGGAAACAAACUAUGUCCCCUUUUUUGUGAUUAAAACAGGAUAUGUACCAUACAUUAACAAACAGAAAAUAAACCAACACAAUCUAAAACAAUAAAUCAACCACAAGAGGCACAUAUUUUUACGUGAAAAACCUAAAUCGAGAAAAACCAUAGGAUGGUAGUCCGAUAGAACCUUCAACUAUAUUAAUAAUGGGAUUACAGAAAAAAUUAUCUCUAGAUAAUACUAGAGGCUAACAACAUAAAAACAUCAAGAAUCUCAAAAUCUUGGCCUAUAGUAACAGCUUAAUAUUUAUCGAUCUAACAAGUAGGUAUCUCAAAUAACAACCAUCAGAAGGAUAAAAAAAAAAUCAAGACAAGUAGGAUUGUAGAGGUGAUGCCAAUAACUUACCCACUAAAUUCAAGUGAAAACGGAGUUAAAAUGGCAUUUCGAUCGUCCAAUCAAAACUUGAAACUCUUGGCUCAAAAAUCAAAUAUUACACCAUUGUCUAUUUUUUUUCUCUCUUGUAUUUUUCUUCUCUUUUCUAUCAUUGUUGCAAUUUGCUUUUCUUUUCUUUUUCUUUCAUAUAUAUUAUUAUUUGGCUAAUUUCAUCUAACUCCAAAACUUAAUAUUAAUUGCACAUCAAGUGAGCCUUUUAGACUUGAGGCUUUAGGGCCAACCAAAUAAGAUAGACCCAAAAAUAUGUACCCCAAUAUCAUUUAAGAUGACAAAUUGUUUAGGCCAAGUAUCAACGCCAUGAGUCAUGGGGCCAACUGUUGUGGCUUGGCUUGGGGCCUUGUGCCGAGUCUUGACAGCAAAUGGGUGUGCUUGUGGUGAGCGCGGAAAUAAGGCAGGGUUGGUGCAUUGGCUAGGGCGCGGCAGCAAGGCGUACGUUGUGGCAUGGCCACAAGCAAUACAGGACAGCGCGCACGAGAGCGUGUGUGGGUGGCGCACGCAGUAUCUAGCAAGAGCAUGGGUGCAAUGGGCGCACGAGUGUGUGGUACAGUGGGCGGUCGAGCACGGGGCAUGAUGGGCGUGUGAACACAAGGCGUUGAGGUGCGCAAGUGCGAGGCACAAUAGUGCGCAAGCGAGCAUGGCACAAGACGCGCGAGCAUGGGGCUCAACAACAUGUGAGUCAGCUAUUGGAUUGCGUGAACAGUUGCGAGAUUUUGGCAUAUUUGUGUACCAGAGUGCGCACGAAAGUGCAGCGACAUGAGGCAUGCAUGUAGGGGCUGAAUCAUGCGAAAAUAAGAGGCGUUCAUACGCAGACUGGGUAAGGACAAUGGUUGUUGGAUGUGGAGCAUGGUUGGCUGCAACUCUCCAAGAAAUGGGCCUAAAAUUAAGCGUGAGUGGCAGUUGCGAGUACAACUAGAGUGGGAGAACAUGGUCUUGAUCAUGUGCCUAAAAAUGAUGAGCAAGAUAGUGGGUGUGGCAGUUACAACUCAUGAUUCCUUACUAAUGGACAUGGUGAGCAACGAUUGCUCAAAUCAAAGGGGAGUGGAGAUGUACUCAUAGGAUUAUGCUUAGUGGGUGCCUAAAAACUUGGGGAGGGAUUUAAGGUGGCGUGAGAGUGGCGCACCACCUAACCUUAGCAAGUGGGGGUGUCACUUGCAAACCAUGCAUAUAAAUAGUGAUGGGGAUGUAUGUUGGGGCGCGAGUUUUGAGUUGAGCAUUUUGUCCUUGAGCAUAAACCUAAAAUUGUUUGUAAAUCUUUUCUUAUUGUGGAAAUAGAAAAGUUGGGGGUUGGUGCCUUAGUAAAAAGCCAAAUACUUGUGCUCUUGUGUUGUGUGUGUGUUGUUCUUUGUGUUGGCGAGAAAGUGUUCUUGCAUAACCUCCAUUUACGAGUGCUGACAUGCUUCUUGUUAAAUUGCUUCCGUUGGGUUUGGGUUGGCUGGCUAAGUGGAGUUCUUAGUGCCAUCACGCGGGUUGCCACACCUAGCUUAUAAAAGCCCGGUGACACCAAGCAACAUGGGAUCCAAUGACAUGGCUAACAAGAACUAAGUCAUACCCAAUAAGCCUUGGUAAAAAGGCAUCUCCUUUAAUUGCAAUAUUAACAGCCACAUGAACAUAUGUGACUAUCAAUGGUACUCUAUGCACAGUCACAUUAGGAUAAUUUUUUCUAACAUUGUACCUUUGGCUAUAACAUUUUUUUGUUGCCCACUGCUAACUUGCAUGAUUUGCCUUGCAUUAUCUAUGUGUAAAAGUAUUAAUCAUAGCAUUAUAAGUGAUAAAAAUUUAAACUUUGAGAUUUGGAAAAAAAAAGUGCACUUAUUUUUUCAUAUAUACCUAUUUCUUCUUAAAGCACUAAUUUUACAUAUAUACUUGUUUAUUCUUGGAGUACUUUUUCUCUAUUCUUGGUUCCUUAGAGCAACUACCCUUUUCUGAGGGAAUUUUUAGUGACUGGAUCAAUAUGACUCCAUUCUUUUGGAACAUUUUGUUGACCUAUAUGGUUAUACAGUCUUUCAAUUUUGACUAUAACAAACCAUGUGUCAAUGGUAGAAUAUGAAAUGCAUUGUUCAUAAGCUUAAGGUAUUCAAAUGCACAAAACUCUAUCUAGACAAGAAUGGGCAUUAGGGUCACUAAGCUUAGAUAUUUCAUUUUGUAAAGCUCAUUUGAACAAAUGAAUGCAUGAUCAAAGCAUUUAAAAGCUCAACUUAUUCUCUCAUUAUAUUUUAAGAAAAAAUCAUUUACGUGGAAAUAUAAUCUCAUAAAAUGAGUUAUUGAACUCUACUAAGAAUGAUUUGAAAGGUUUCGAAAAAAAAAAUGUUAUUUUAAGUUGAACGGACACAGUCACUCAUAUGGUAAAGUUACAAGCAAAGUGGUAUAGUGUGGUUGGGAAUUUAUGUUCUCAGAUGAUGGUUGGGGAUGAGAUCAAAGAGACGGGUAGCUAGGAGUACAAUUAUUUCCUUGUACAUUUAUAUAGCUAUUUCGGUAGGUUUGGAAAAAUCUAUACAUUUUAGUACUCAAACGAUAAACCACUAACUUCAAGUAGGUAGUCGAUAAGGUUGAGAAAUGUUUCUAAAAUUAAGCAGCAUACCGCUAGACUUGAAACAGCUAAUCAAGUGGGUUGAUAUAAGGUUCUAGAAUGAAACGGCAAACCAUUUACUCAUAAGCGGCAAGCUAACUUCCAAUAGAGGGGUCUUUGGAUCAAAUGGCAAACUGAUUAAAUCACAAGCCACAAGUCGACUUCAAUCAAUGAACUCUAAAUCGACAACUCCCAAGCAGCAAUCUAAUUGUGAAAAAAUUUCAAACUUAUGCAUAACGGUAACUAGCCACAUAAGCAAAUAGCAAUCCAUUUCAUUACGAGCGGUAAACCGAUUAUGCUUGAAAAGUCAAUAAUGGCUAAUUUUAUUGAUCAAUCUAAAUAAAUAGCCAAGGAAAACUCAUUUCAAAUUGAACUUUUGAAAUCCAUAUUAGAGUUUAAAAUAGAAAAAAAAGUCUCGAGUUUUUUUAUUUGCUGACACACAUUUAUUGAUUUGUAUUUGAGCUAUCAUUGCAAAUAUACUCCUGAAGAGUGCAAUCUUUGUAAACUCCAGUUUCAUUUCAAAAAAUGAGUGCUAGUGAGUGUGUAAAGGUUUAUUGAAAAAGGGAUAUAUAAUCAUCUCUCGUUGAUAGUGUGGGUGUGUAAAGGUUUAUUGAGUGUGUAAAGGUUAAUCUAUCAACGAGAGAUGAUUAAAUAAUCUGAUUAAAGUUAAUGAUCAAUAUGUAUAAAACGUAAAGCCGCGUCAACUUUCAAGAAAACUGAAAAAAUAGUACAAUAUAUAUAUAUAUGAAGCUCCAUCUUUAAAAUCUUGAGAAGCAGAUACAUUUUCUUUUAAUAAUUUAAACAUAUCGAGUACCCUAUAGCCUCUGUAGAGUAGUAUCAACAAUAUUUAACUAGAACUAAACUCCUCAUGUCAAUUUCAGAGGUGACUUUAAUUAUAGGCGAACAUGACAAUUGUCUAAAGUUUCAUUUAGAAAGACCUCAUUAAUUUUUUUUGAGUAUUUCAUUAAUAAUUUUUUAAUUAAUAAAGAUUUUUUAAAAUUACAUAAUGUGAGAAAAAUUUAUUAAACAUCUCUGUAAUUAAUAAUUAUCAUAUAAUUAAGAGUUAUUUUCUAUAGAAUAUCUAUAUUUGGUAACCUUAUUGUUAAAAAAAUAUAAUUAAUAAAAUUGUCUAACUAUUAAUUUAUUCAUUCUUAUUUUUUCUAAGAAAAGUAAAUAAAUUACUUACCUUUUUAGUUUCUUAAGAAAACUUAAUUAUUUAAUGUUAGAAUCUUUAACUUUGAGUAUUCUUUUUAAUUUCUAUUAAAAUGAGGAAUUGACCUGUGGUAGAUUCAGUAAAAAAUAAAUAAGAAUUUCUAAUUGUAAACCUUAUAAUCUAAAAAAUCAUAGACAAAAAAAUUUCUUACUCUCUCCUCUACAAAGAAAAUUAUUACAUACAUUAGUUCAUUUAGAAAAGAAAAACAUUAGUUUCUUGAACUAGAAAGUCCAUAUGCAUUAUGUGAUCAUCAAUUCGUCAUCUCAAAUUUUAAUAUACUCCAUUCUAAAUAUUCUAUUUGAAAAUAAUAUUAUUCUUAUUUAUUUAUUUUUGUAAAAAUUCUAAUGAAAGUAAAUUUUUAGAUUUUGUUUUUGAAAUAUUUUAGGCUCUUCUUUAUUAUUAUUGAAAUUCAAAAACUAAAAAUGAAAUAAAUUUUGAGCUCUAUUAUAAUUUUUUUUAAUAUUAAAGUUUUUAAAUAAAAAGAGGUCUCGUAAAAGAAAAUUUUACCUAUGGCCAAUUUCUCUAAUUUUUAAAAUACAUAUUUUAAAUAUCAAGUUCUCUACAAAAUCUUUAAAAAAAAAAAACUAUUUCUUGUAGUAUUGGAUAUCGAUGAAUGAAUAUCGGCAUCCACAAGAUUCCAAAUCAGUUGUUGGGUUUUCAGAAAACACAUAAUAACAAGCAGACACAAAAAGCUUAUAGUUGUGGCUCCACAAUCACGCAGUCCAGAUCAGCUCCCGUCCAUGUAAUCAAUAUAUGGUCCAACUAGAUGCCUCGUGACCUUUCUCACCCGGCUAACAGCGAGUCAAGAUAUCUCACCGUCACCGGCACUGCACUUACCGCAUUCAGAAUUUUCAGAUCCACCUGUCCAUAACCUUCCCCAGGUCACUGCCACGGGCGUUCCCGCCACCACCAUAGCUCCAAUCGCCAUCAGUCCCUAAUAACCAAAUCACCAACCCAACAGCUCACAUCCGCCUAACAGGCCGAUAUCCUUCGUUUGAUAUUUUUCUUUUGUUUUUCUUUUAUUUAUUUUGAGUCUCCUAAUUAUUUUAUGUUUUAAUUUUUUUUAAUUUUUUAAUUUUUCUAUUUCCUUGUCUUUAUGGUGUUUGUUUUCUGCUCCCGAGAUCUUUUAUAUAUGAUCGUAAAUGGUGUCGAUUCACAGUUUGGAUCAGAAUCGUAUCAGCGUUCAAAUGGAGAGAGUUUGCUUAUAUUGGAGUUGAUGAAUAAUUCUAAUGGUGGUGCAAUGAGAUUUCGAUGACCUGGCCAUGUCGCUGAUGGCAUGGGUUGAGGCCUCAUCGAGAGUCAGGCUGGGAAUACUUGAGAUGAAGUGGUUAUCAUUGCUGAGGUUUUGUAGUUUUUUAGUUCUGUUCUGCAGUUAAUUAGCAUUAUGUUGUGGUGUAUUCUAUUAUUUUUUAUAUUCUUAUUUUCUUAUCCCAUAUAUUGUGCAAUAUGGUCUUGUAUUUAUUAAUCUUCAAUGAUUGUGUUUGUAUAAAUAUAUAUAUAUAUAUAUAUAUGUAGCAUAUUCCAAGAAGGUUUUGACAAAAAAAAAAAGUUGUUUGGUCCACUGAAAACUGGACGUGGCUGAGACGAAAUCCGCUGUAAAUACGUGUCCUUUAAUCAUCAUCUCGAACUUCAUUCUAUCAAAGUGCAUGCCCUAUUUAAACCUCCCACCAUGUGCACUCAGACUCAAGUGUGCACGCAAAUGCCAAAAAACAAGCACAUGGAGCAGCAACAGCAACCCCACUUUCUACUAUUAACAUUUCCAAUACAAGGCCACAUUAACCCAUCCCUCCAAUUCGCCAGGCGUCUUACGCGCAUUGGUACACGUGUCACCUUCGCCAUCGCCAUCUCCGCCUACCGCCGCAUAGCCAAUAAUCCCACGCCCGAAGACGGCUUGUCGUUUGCCAGCUUCUCCGAUGGAUAUGACGACGGAUUCAAUUCCAAACAAAAUGAUCGGACGCACUACAUGUCGGAGUUCAAGCGUCGUAGCUCCGAAGCCCUGGCUGAGCUCAUCACGACCAGUCAAAACGAGGGUGGUCAACCGUUUACUUGCUUGGUUUACCCUCAACUCCUUCCUUGGGCUGCUGAAGUGGCGCGUGCGUAUCACCUCCCUUCGGCGCUACUCUGGCUUCAACCAGCCCUCGUUUUCGACGUUUAUUACUAUUACUUCUAUGGAUAUGGCGAUCUAAUUGAAGGGAAGGUUAAUGAUUUGAUAGAGUUACCGGGACUGCCGCCACUCACCGGCCGUGAUCUUCCUUCUUUCCUAGAUCCCAGAAAUUCAAAUGAUGCUUACUCUUUCGUAUUACCUUCUUUUAAAGAACAAAUGGAGGCAAUUGUUGAAGAAACCAAUCCAAGAAUUCUUGUCAACACGUUCGACGCAUUAGAAGCUGAGACCUUGAAAGCUAUCGAUAAGUUCAAUAUGAUCGCAAUCGGACCGUUAGUUGCAUCGGCGUUGUUGGACGGAAAAGAACAGUACGGAGGCGAUCUUUGCCAGAAUAGUUCAAUAGAGUAUUAUAUGGAAUGGCUAAGCUCGAAGC
rnacentral:lncRNA from 1 species